UGGGGAAUAUUGCACAAUGGGCGGAAGCCUGAUGCAGCGACGCCGCGUGGGGGAUGAAGGCCUUCGGGUUGUAAACUCCUUUCGACAGGGACGAAGCUUUUGUGACGGUACCUGUAUAAGAAGCACCGGCUAACUACGUGCCAGCAGCCGCGGUAAUACGUAGGGUGCGAGCGUUGUCCGGAAUUACUGGGCGUAAAGAGCUCGUAGGUGGUUUGUCGCGUCGUCUGUGAAAUUCCGGGGCUUAACUCCGGGCGUGCAGGCGAUACGGGCUGACUUGAGUGCUGUAGGGGAGACUGGAAUUCCUGGUGUAGCGGUGAAAUGCGCAGAUAUCAGGAGGAACACCGAUGGCGAAGGCAGGUCUCUGGGCAGUAACUGACGCUGAGGAGCGAAAGCAUGGGUAGCGAACAG
rnacentral:rRNA from 1 species